GCAGGGGGAAGGGGAUGCUUGCAUUGAUGUCUCUCCUGCCAUCCUCCCCUCUCCCCCUGCAG
ensembl:miRNA